CAGUAAGUAGUUUAAGAAAAAUUUUAAUUUUGGAGAUUAAAGAUGAGUGAUUGACUUUUUACUGA
rnacentral:tRNA from 1 species